UUUCCGUAGGUGAACCUGCGGAAGGAUCAUUAUUGUAUAACCGAGGUGCGAGGGCUGUCGCUGACCCGAAAGGUCGUGCACGCCCGAGUGCCCUCACACACAUCCAUCUCACCCCUAUGUGCACCACCGCGUGGGUCCCCCUUUGGCUUGUUCGGAGGGGGGCUUACGUUUUCACACAAACUUUGUAUGCAGUGUAGAAUGUAUUUCUUGUUUUUGCAAUCACGCAAUCAAUACAACUUUCAACAACGGAUCUCUUGGCUCUC
rnacentral:misc_RNA from 1 species